UACGGAGGGUCCAAGCGUUAUCCGGAAUCAUUGGGUUUAAAGGGUCCGUAGGCGGUUUUGUAAGUCAGUGGUGAAAGCCCAUCGCUCAACGGUGGAACGGCCAUUGAUACUGCAAGACUUGAAUUAUUGGGAAGCAACUAGAAUAUGUAGUGUAGCGGUGAAAUGAUUUAGAUAUUACAUGGAAUACCAAUUGCGAAGGCAGGUUGCUACCAAUACAUUGACGCUGAUGGACGAAAGCGUGGGGAGCGAACAGG
rnacentral:rRNA from 1 species